UACGAAGGGUGCAAGGCGUUAAUCGGGAUUACUGGGCGUAAAGCGUGCGUAGGCGGUUUCUUAAGUCUGCUGUGAAAGACCCCGGGCUCAACCUGGGAAUGGCGGUGGAUACUGAAGGAGCUGGAGUACGGUAGAGGAAGGUGGAAUUCCCGGUGUAGCGGUGAAAUUCGUAGAUAUUGGGAAGAACACCGGUGGCGAAGGCGGCGACCUGGUCCGAU
rnacentral:rRNA from 1 species